rnacentral:rRNA from 1 species
UACGAAGGGGGCUAGCGUUGCUCGGAAUCACUGGGCGUAAAGGGUGCGUAGGCGGGUCUUUAAGUCAGGGGUGAAAUCCUGGAGCUCAACUCCAGAACUGUCUUUGAUACUGAGGAUCUUGAGUUCGGGAGAGGUGAGUGGAACUGCGAGUGUAGAGGUGAAAUUCGUAGAUAUUCGCAAGAACACCAGUGGCGAAGGCGGCUCACUGGCCCGAUACUGACGCUGAAGCACGAAAGCGUGGGGAGCAAACAGG